rnacentral:rRNA from 1 species
UCCCUAUGGGGUGCAGCAGGCGCGAAAACUUUACAAUGCGGGAAACCGCGAUAAGGGGAUACUGAGUGCCAGCAUCUUAUGUUGGCUGUCCACCUGUAUAAACAGCAGGUGUUAGCAAGGGCCGGGCAAGACCGGUGCCAGCCGCCGCGGUAACACCGGCGGCCCGAGUGGUGACCACUAUUAUUGGGUCUAAAGGGUCCGUAGCCGGUUUGAUCAGUCUUCCGGGAAAUCUGACAGCUCAACUGUUAGGCUUCCGGGGGAUACUGUCAGACUUGGGACCGGGAGAGGUAAGAGGUACUACAGGGGUAGGAGUGAAAUCUUGUAAUCCUUGUGGGACCACCAGUGGCGAAGGCGUCUUACCAGAACGGGUCCGACGGUGAGGGACGAAAGCUGGGGGCACGAACCGGAUUAGAUACCCGGGUAGUCCCAGCUGUAAACGAUGCUCGCUAGGUGUCUGGGACGGUGCGACCGUUUCAGGUGCCGCAGGGAAGCCGUGAAGCGAGCCACCUGGGAAGUACGGCCGCAAGGCUGAAACUUAAAGGAAUUGGCGGGGGAGCACUACAACGGGUGGAGCCUGCGGUUUAAUUGGAUUCAACGCCGGAA